GACGAACGCUGGCGGCGUGCCUAAUACAUGCAAGUAGACCGCUGAAGGAGGAGCUUGCUUCUCUGGAUGAGUUGCGAACGGGUGAGUAACGCGUAGGUAACCUGCCUGGUAGCGGGGGAUAACUAUUGGAAACGAUAGCUAAUACCGCAUAAGAGUAGAUGUUGCAUGACAUUUGCUUAAAAGGUGCAAUUGCAUCACUACCAGAUGGACCUGCGUUGUAUUAGCUAGUUGGUGGGGUAACGGCUCACCAAGGCGACGAUACAUAGCCGACCUGAGAGGGUGAGCGGCCGCACUGGGACUGAGACACGGCCCAGACUCCUACGGGAGGCAGCAGUAGGGAAUCUUCGGCAAUGGACGGAAGUCUGACCGAGCAACGCCGCGUGAGUGAAGAAGGUUUUCGGAUCGUAAAGCUCUGUUGUAAGAGAAGAACGAGUGUGAGAGUGGAAAGUUCACACUGUGACGGUAUCUUACCAGAAAGGGACGGCUAACUACGUG
rnacentral:rRNA from 1 species